rnacentral:rRNA from 1 species
GGAUGGUUGAGAGGAGCUGUUUUUAGUACGAGAGGACCGAAAUGGACGUACCUCUGGUGUACCGGUUGUCCUGCCAAGGGCAAGUGCCGGGUAGCCACGUACGGAAGGGAUAACCGCUGAAGGCAUCUAAGUGGGAAGCCCCCCUCAAGAUAAACCAUCCCCGGGGAUAUAAUCCCCCUGAAGGCACCAGGGAGACUACCUGGUUGAUAGGGCGGAGGUCUAAGCACGGCAACGUGUUCAGCCGACCGCUACUAAUCUGCCGUGAGGCUUGACCAU